AAUAUCAACCGACAUCCAGGUUCACUUGAAACUGCAGUCACAACAGAAUGCGCAACAGUUGCGUCUGAACGAAAGAGAUAUAUAUCGUGGCCGAUCCCAUUGUCGUUCAUCCGAUAACAAUUCGAAAGUACUUACACCCUCGUCUCGAGUGCCGACCAUGUGAACUGGAGCAAAAGCCGCGGUGGACGGUGGAACGUGUCGAGCGAACGAAACGACUCGACAUGAGCGCGAAAACCCUGGCCUUCGGAUGCAACGCGGUGCAAUCAUGCAAGAUGCAGGAACGUACGAGGAACGAGCUGUGAACGCGAUUCGGUUACAAGCUUCUGUCAAGAUGUCCGAGAAGCGGAUUUCGAUGGGCAUUAACGUCAGCAUUCUCGUUAUACUAACCAUCUUCGGGGUGUUGCUUUCCUUGCCAUUGCGAUUGCUCUUGAACACGAAUUAUUACAGUCGAAACGAAACGAUCGGCGAAAAUACUACGAUAGAAACGACGGAGAACGUAACAGUCGAAGCGAUAAUAAUCCCGGUGGACCAUCGAAAGUUGAGACGCUGUCCAAGGUUCGAGUACGAAGAUAGAUUGAUAUCGGUUUUUCAAAGUGAUUACGAUGGAAAUUGUACUUACACGCGAGUCUGUCCGAUUAACGACACGAAGGAGGAAAAUAACGGAGAUGUCGAGAGCGAACCUGUUAACAAAGGGAAUAAUGAAACGUCCAAGAUAUUGAAGGAGAUCGUCGGCGAGAAUUCGACGGAAAAAGUUGAAGAAAGUGGGAAAGAUCGUCGAACGAAAUCGGUUCUGGUCGCCGGACACAUUCUCGUGACGAUGCUUCUCAUUUCAGCAAUCGCUGCUCUCGUUGAAGUAUUGCGAAUACGUUUCGCUAGAGAUAAGGACUCGUCUAAGGCAGAUAGUAUCAGCUCAAGAAAAACGUCCAUGGUCGAGUUACCCGUUCAGAGGAGAUUCCUACCGAGGUACCCAAUGAAGAGUGCGAGAUCUUUCGAAAUGCAUCGAUCUGCUUUACGCCUAUUAGGUGCGAGACCGCCGCCUCUUAUCCGUCGCUCGUCAUUCCCAACGCAACCGUCUAAACAAAACUCUGGAUCGGUCAGUGGAACACCGAAUAAUCGGAAAUCGAGACGCCAAUCGGCCGAAUCCGACGAAGAAGUCGGAAUCCUCAUGAGCGCUCUUCAUCAUCGCACACGCCUGAUUCGACGGCAUUAAAGUAAGGUCGAUCAAUUGAAUUCUUUGAAAAUUCAUUCGCGUUAACACUAACAGGGUACACGUCUUAGACUGAAUGGUCUUACAUAUCGCACAACGAUUAUGUUCACGAAUUUUUUAAAAAUUCUUACUACUUCGUGAAACAACCCAGAAGGACUUCCAAUGAAAUCGUUGUUUCUUCCUGUUCAUAUUUUACAAUUCUGUCUACUUAACAGAAAUUUUACAGUAGCAAACAAUCUUCUAAAUCUUUCACCCCCUCCCGCCCCCGCUGUUAAAAUCAACAACAAAUCUGCUUACUACCGUACCACCAACCAUAAUUUUAAUCGUUUUUGUUCUCUAUAAGGUAAUACACCCGUAGAAAGCGUCUUUGAGAAUAGGUAAUCGCAAAAUUGAAAUCAAAGUGCAAAAUGAAUAAACACGGCUAGUACAUCUAAUCUAUUCGUACUCUGUUGUAUACGAUAUUGUUAUACAAGGCGACGACCGUGUGAAACUAAUCAAAAUAUAAUAUGAAUGUAUUUUGGAAAAAGUUAGAGAUUCUCUUCGAUACAUAUUUUCAUAUUAAUAAACGUACCUCCUUUUAAACAGCGAAUACUUCGACACUUCUGUGAUUUUCAUCGUUUCUCAAGUAAUAUGUAAAACGUUAAUCAAAAAUUGUGAAAUAUAUAUAUAUAUAUAUAUAUGUACAUAUGUAUAUCGAUGUCUGAGAAAUAAAUUCUACCAUUCUUUACUCGAAUUAUUUUAUAC